GGUAAAAGCCUACCCAAGGCGACGAUCGGUAGCUGGUCUGAGAGGAUGAUCAGCCACACUGGGGCUGAGACACGGCCCAGACUCCUACGGGAGGCAGCAGUGGGGAAUUUUCCGCAAUGGGCGAAAGCCUGACGGAGCAAUACCGCGUGAGGGAAGAAGGCUUUUGGGUUGUAAACCUCUUUUGUCAGGGAAGAAGAAUUGACGGUACCUGAAGAAAAAGCAUCGGCUAACUCCGUGCCAGCAGCCGCGGUAGGACGGAGGAUGCAAGCGUUAUCCGGAAUUAUUGGGCGUAAAGCGUCCGCAGGUGGUUUUUCAAGUCUGCUGUCAAAGGCGGUAGCUCAACUACCGUAAGGCAGUGGAAACUGAGAGACUAGAGAGUGGUAGGGGUAGAGGGAAUUCCCAGUGUAGCGGUGAAAUGCGUAGAGAUUGGGAAGAACACCGGUGCCGAAAGCGCUCUACUGGACCACAACUGACACUCAGAGGACGAAAGCUAGGGUAGCGAAAGGGAUUAGAUACCCCUGUAGUCCUAGCCGUAAACGAUGGAUACUUG
rnacentral:rRNA from 1 species